CCUAGCUGCCCCUCAACCACUACAUUUUUUUAAAAGAAACUGAAGCACAGAGCCAUCAGAUCAUUUAAGUAAGGCAAUAAGGAUUAACUUUCCUAAAGUAUUGCUUUUAUUACCUCACUUGGUAUGGAACGGUGCAAAUAACAACAGACCCACAAGCCUCUGCUGCUGCCCAGGAGCUGUGUUUUCAACUCUUGGUAUACCUAGCACUCAUCACAGUGUCUAAGACCAUGGUUCCUCAACAAUCAGGGCCGAAAAUUUUUUCAGCUGGCAAAUACCCUGAUUUCCAAAAGGAAAUUCUACAACCUAUAACCUGGAGGCAAAGCUAUGAAGACUAACUCCUCAAAAUGGGUCUGUCUGAUGCUGGUACUCAGAGACUGGAGCACAUUCCUAUUAACCCUGAUCACAAGAGGCUGAAUUUCUUCCUUCCAAGGUGGAUUUAUUUUUUUUUACAUCGGCCAACUUAGAGCCAAGUCUGAUGAAUAUGGUGGGGAAUCUAGCUAAGGAAUGCUAUUUUUGGA